CUUAUAUGUGAAAUCUAAAAAAUUAAACUCAGAGAAACAGAGAGUAGAAUAGUGUUGCCAGAGGCUGGGGGUGAGGAAAUGGAGAUAUUUGAUGAAAGGGUAUAAACUCUCAGUUAAAAGAUGAAUGAGGUCUGGGGAUCUAGUGCACAGCCUAAGUGGUGAUGGAUGUGUUGAUUAAUUUCAUUGUGACAAUUAUUACACAGUGUACAUGUGUAUCAAAUAAUCACAUUGCACACCUUGAAUACAUAUAAUCUUUAGUUCUCAAUUAAGUACUUUGAAAUUUAAAAAAAAAGAAAAUAAUAAAAUCUACUAAAUCUUGGUAGUAACAGUGAGAUCCUGUGUCACGUAUGCCACUAUCCACUCCCUCCUUUACCCUUACCCCUAAAGCUCAGCAUGAUAGACGCCCCACUCCAAAGGGGCUCCCUUUCCUCUAAGCUACCAGUCAAGUGGUAAGGUAUUCUCCUGGGAUAAAGAGAUUGCCAACAUUUUUUAUCCUCUCCUAGCUGCAUGUUACGAAGGCUAGUUUCCAGGCAAGUGUGGCCAAGACAUCAGGAACUUCAUUCACCUACCCAGCUCCAAUUUCACUGGUUCUACUCUAGGUACAGAAGGGUAAUAAAACUUGGGCCAAAUUAUCUUAACCCCAAUCUUUUCAUAAGGAGAAUAUUCCAUACUGGAAGAGGCAAGCUGAGAAGACCAGAGGCUACUGCCCCAGCUCAGUGCUCAGUUCAUGAAACAUGGUAUUCCAAGAGAAGUGGGUGAUUUUGCCUGCUGUCAUCUCCAGAGCAGUGGUUCAGAGAUUUUGCCAGAUGAAGAGGCAAGUCAAAAUAACAUAAGAUGCAGAAACUUCCCCCGAAGAAAUUGAAUUUAUUUGGAACAAAGUGCGGGUAGGAAAGAGACAAAUGGAAGCAAAAUAGCAAAAUGGUGAAGAGGAGGGUUCUAGAGGCAGAGAGCCCUGCAGUCCUGAGUCCUGAGUCCACCGUUUAACAGAGUGACUUUGCUCAGCCUGUGGAUUAUAAUGAAACUUGCCUGUUAUAGGAUCCAGUUUUUUAGGUGGUAGCAACAUGCUCAAGGAAGAUGCAGCCCCUUCCUCCAGCCUGAGAGAAUAAAGCAUCAUUGGCUUAUGCCAACCAUGGCAAUCCCAUUCCCCUUUUCUCAUGAUUGAUUUGGGAAUGGGCAAGUGACCCAGUUCUAACCAAUGAGACGAAAGAAAAAGUCUAUUGGUCAGCUUAUCUCAGAAGAUUUUUGUUUCCUGCUAUAAAGAGAAACAGUAAGUUCCUUCCUGCCUGACUUAAAUGCAAUUGUGUGCAAACAUGUUACUUGGAGCUACAGCAACGAUUCUGUGACCAUGAGGCAAUAAGCCAAGGACAAAGGAUAGAAUAGUGAAAAGACAGAGUAUUGGAUUUUUUUUAUGAUAUCAUUGAACUGCUGGACCAAUGUGGAACCAUCUACUUUUAGUCUUUCAUGAUUUGUGAGAUGAUUAAACAUUUCUUUUUUUUAGCCAUUAUUUCUUUUCUGUUACUUGCAACUGAAGACAUCCUACAUAAUACAAACACUAUCCAACUUGGAUUGUAAUUUAUCUAUUUUCAGAUCUGUGUGUUCUGUCUUACUGAUUUUUGUAUUCUUAGCACUGAGUAUAAGGCUGCUACUUAGUAAGACUUCAAUAAAUGACUGUUUAAAAAGGUCUUAGAGGAUUUAAAAAAAAUUCUGAAGUUGCUGAAAUAUGAAGACCAGGAACCAAUUUCAGGUUCUAUAAAUUUCUCGCUUCCUUCACUUCUGGAGUAGUCUUCAUUUCUGUCUGAUUCUACCUUUACUAAAAUGAAUGAAUGAUUGAGAAAUACGAAAAAUGGCUGGUAUAGUGGCUACUGCUGAGAAGUAUCUCUUGGAAAUUCCCGGAAAUUCCAUCAGUCACAUUCAGACCUAACUCUCUGAUGAUCAAUGUUUCUGAACUCAAACCAGUGUACAUAAGCAGUGGACUAUUUAAAGUGGUAUUAGCCUAGAAUAUCUAGGACCCAUGUUUUAUGCAUUCAGUAAGCGUUUGUUUAAUGUCUGUUAUCUACCAGGCACAUUAUUAUGCAUUGGGCAUAUAGAGAUGACCAACCACACGGCCUCAAUCCUUGAAAAGCUUACAGUAACCAAAUAGGGUUAACGGCCUAAAGAGAGGUAAUUACAAGUCUUACACUCAGUCUUCUUAGCAUAGUAUGGUGCUACCUCUGAGUUAAUUAAGAUAACAAAAUUCCUAGAUAUAUAUCUUUGAUGAAACGGUUUCCAUGAAAACUUUCCAAGUUUGGUCCCUCCCCGGCUGAGUUCAUUUUGGAAGGUGACUUUCUGCUCUCAUCACCUAAGGUCCUUAACACGUAUCCUGUGUUCUCCGGAGGCACCCCUUGCCCAGAGUGUGCCCUCUGCAUGGUUCCCCCAGAACACCUAUUUCAAAGGAAAAGAAGUUGGAUCAUUCAGUGAAGAUUUGGGGGGCCACUUUUCUACGUGGGAGGAUUAUGAGUAUUACCUUCCUCCCCUAUGUAUUAGUAAAUAUAAAGAAAACAUAAAUUAACCCCCUUUCUGGCUGGGCACGGUGGCUCACGCCUGUCAUCCCGCACUAUGGGAAUCCGAAGUGGGCGGAUCACUUGAGGUCAGCAGUUUGAGACCAGCCUGGCCAACAUGGCAAAACCCCGUCUCUACUAAAAUAUAAAAAUUAGCCAGAUGUGGUUGCACACAUCUCUAGUCCCAGCUACUCGGGAGGCUGAGGCACAAGAACUGCUUGAGCCUGGGAGCAAGGGUUGCAGUGAGCUGAGAUUGUGCCAUUGCACUCCAGCCUGGGUGACAGAGCAAGACUCUGUCUCAAAAAAAUAAAAUAAAAUAAAAAUAAUUUAGACCCCAUUCUUCUUAGAUAACCAUGACUUCUGAAGGAGGUCAGAGCUCUUGUGCUCUGCAUCUCUGCUCCAUCAGCCUCAAGGCCACCUUUCAGGUCCACAUGAAAUAUAAGUGCACAAAGGCACCAGACUUAGCAUUAUUAGUUUCCCCCACUGGUCUGAUUUUUGUAGAAAUUGCCAGGAACUGAUUUUCUGCCCUUCCUUCCUAACAGACAAGCCUUCCAGCCCUCCCUGACACAGCUCUUCCCUAUCUCCUACUCUCUGGUCAUCAAGCUUUUAGAGAUGCCCUGGCCUUCUCUAGUUGCCCCAGCUGUAUUUUUUCUUCUUGGGAAUGCGUUGAUUCCAGAGCCUGACUGGGAAUAAAUCUCAGCUCCUCCAUUUAGCAGUUAUGGGAUUCAAGUUACUCUUACUCCCAGGGACUCAGUUUCUGCACCUGUAAAAUGGAGAUUUACCACCUUUCGUUCCAGCAUUACUGAUAUUGUUUGGCUCUGUGUCCCUACCCAAAUCCCAUCUCGAAAAUUAAUCCCUAUAGUCCCCACCUGUUGAGGGUCCUGGUGGGAGGUAAUUGGAUCCUGGGGGCGGCUUUUCCCAUGCUGUUCUCGUGAUAGUGAGUAAGUUCUCACGAGAGCUGACGGUUUUAUAAGUGUUUGACAGUUUCUCCUUCACACGCUCUCUCUUCUGUCUCCUGCCAUCAUGUAAGAUGUGCCUGCUUCUCCUCCUCUCAUGAUUGCAAGUCUCCUGAGGCCUCCUCAGCCAUGAAGAACUGUGAGUCAAUUAAACCUCUUUCUUUUAUAAAUUACCCAGUCUUGGGUAUUUCUUUGUAGCAGUGUGAAAACAGACUAAUGCAAUUACCAUAAUGGGCUUUCAAUUGAUGAACUUGCAUCACUGACUCCUCAACACGCAGCUGACUUCCUACUGUAAUUGUUCACCAUGCAGACAUUUGUGGAGCCACAAGCAUAACCAUCAUGGUAUUUAAGAUUCGUUCUGUAUCUGGAUUUAUGCAGUUUAUGAAAAAUCAUCAAACUGUCCUUAUUAUUGGUGUCUUUUUUCUGUAUAUAUGUUAUGCUUCAAUAAAAUAUUUACUUAAAAUUA